AUGAGGGCAGGUGUGUGGUGAGCGGUGAGCGGUGGUGACAAGGCUGA
rnacentral:snoRNA from 1 species